UUUGAGAAAGUCGUUCCUCAGCCGGAGCUCAACAGGAAGGAAGCAGCAGCAGACGGGCCACUGGCGGAGGUGCGUCAGACAGCAGCUGGAAAAGCUGCAGAGGCUCAGAUCCCUGAGGACAAAUCUGACAACACACCACUUCCACCCAGGAUGAUGGAGUGGAUUAAACACGUCGUUCCUCGGCCGGAGUUUCAUGAAGCUUCCACCAAAGUUGAAACUCCGGCACCGAAACCUGAUCCGGCAUCGAAACCUGCUCCAGUCCCAGAACCUGCUCCUGCACCAAAACCUGCACCAGAACCUGCUCCAGCACCAAAACCUGCUCC